rnacentral:rRNA from 1 species
AGUGAACGCUGGCGGUAGGCCUAACACAUGCAAGUCGAACGGCAGCACAGUAAGAGCUUGCUCUUACGGGUGGCGAGUGGCGGACGGGUGAGGAAUACAUCGGAAUCUACUUUUUCGUGGGGGAUAACGUAGGGAAACUUACGCUAAUACCGCAUACGACCUACGGGUGAAAGCAGGGGAUCUUCGGACCUUGCGCGAUUGAAUGAGCCGAUGUCGGAUUAGCUAGUUGGCGGGGUAAAGGCCCACCAAGGCGACGAUCCGUAGCUGGUCUGAGAGGAUGAUCAGCCACACUGGAACUGAGACACGGUCCAGACUCCUACGGGAGGCAGCAGUGGGGAAUAGUGGACAAUGGGCGCAAGCCUGAUCCAGCCAUGCCGCGUGGGUGAAGAAGGCCUUCGGGUUGUAAAGCCCUUUUGUUGGGAAAGAAAAGCAGCAGGUUAAUACCCCGCUGUUCCGACGGUACCCAAAGAAUAAGCACCGGCUAACUUCG